rnacentral:rRNA from 1 species
GACGAACGCUGGCGGCAUGCCUAAUACAUGCAAGUCGAACGAGAUCUUCGGAUCUAGUGGCGCACGGGUGCGUAACGCGUGGGAAUCUGCUCUUGGGUUCGGAAUAACAUCGGGAAACUGAUGCUAAUACCGGAUGAUAUCGAAAGAUCAAAGAUUUAUCGCCCAGGGAUGAGCCCGCGUAGGAUUAGGUAGUUGGGGAGGUAAAGGCUCACCAAGGCGACGAUCCUUAGCUGGUCUGAGAGGAUGAUCAGCCACACUGGGGCUGAGACACGGCCCAGACUCCUACGGGAGGCAGCAGUAGGGAAUAUUGGACAAUGGGGGCAACCCUGAUCCAGCAAUGCCGCGUGAGUGAUGAAGGCCUUAGGGUUGUAAAGCUCUUUUACCCGGGAUGAUAAUGACAGUACCGGGAGAAUAAGCCCCGGCUAACUCCGUGCCAGCCGCCGCCGUAAUAC